rnacentral:lncRNA from 7 species
AGGUGCUACAGGACAUGGGAAGAACACCCCCUUUCUAGCAGAGCAAGGAGUCCUCAAGGAGCUAGAGACCUGCUAAUAAAGUGCUCCAAGCCUUCAGAUUUCAACCCAAGGAGGUGUUGCCUGGAAUCUCCAUGCAGGAGGAUGUCUUCUGUACAGAUGAUUGAGAAACCUUAUUUUCAUAUAAGUGCUUUGUGGACAGGAAGCAUGCUGAAGACACAUGAUGGGAUUAGAUAAGGCUUCACAGGAAUCCUGAUGUCUUCAUGUUUUGUCCUACUUUGUUUGUGAUAAAGGGCCAAAGGCAUUAACUUUUUUUUUUUACAGUUGUUGGCAAAUUUAGUACAUGCACUAAUUUGCCCUCCAGCUUUUUAUGUAAUAUCAGCCUGGAAAUCUGCUAAGGUGUGGCAUGGCAUGUCAUUAAGGAAGAUACUUCUAGUUGUUAAAUGACUUUUGUUUAUUAGCUCCUAUAUCCUUUAGGCCCUUCUGUCUGCUAGCUGGAGGUAUUGCAUAACAAAUUCUUGGGGGGCAUUCUGUAGACAGCCAUGUUCCAUGUGUGGUCAGCGGGGUCACAGUCCCACCUCUGUGUCCUGCCAUGGUCUGCGUAAAACAAGGUACUAGCAGAGAGAGGACAAGUCUUGGAUCUGUGUAUGCAUUGCAGGGUUGAGGAGAUGAGGAUGGAGAUGAGUAAAGUGUCAGAGAGUAGGGGAGAGAGCUAAAAAAUGCAAUACCACUCUUAUUGGCAUGGUUUUAAGACUUCUCUGGAAUAUUGCCCAUACAGGUAGAGCUCCAGCUGAUUAGACAUAACAAAUCAAACUGGACAAAUGAUUUGAUAGGUUCAAUUUUUAUUAUUAUUGUUCAGUUUUGUAUCUGUAGAAGACGACUAAUAAAGUUAAACCUGUGAGGAAAG